rnacentral:rRNA from 1 species
AGAGUUUGAUCAUGGCUCAGGAUGAACGCUGGCGGCGUGCUUAACACAUGCAAGUCGAACGAACCUUCGGGUUAGUGGCGGACGGGUGAGUAACGCGUGGGAACCUGCCCUCAGGAGGGGGAUAACGGCUGGAAACGGCCGCUAAUACCCCAUAUGCCGAGAGGUGAAAUGAAAUUCGCCUGAGGAUGGGCCCGCGUCUGAUUAGCUAGUUGGUGGGGUAAGGGCCUACCAAGGCGACGAUCAGUAGCUGGUCUGAGAGGAUGAUCAGCCACACUGGGACUGAGACACGGCCCAGACUCCUACGGGAGGCAGCAGUGGGGAAUUUUCCGCAAUGGGCGAAAGCCUGACGGAGCAACGCCGCGUGAGGGAUGAAGGCCUCUGGGCUGUAAACCUCUUUUCUCAAGGAAGAAGACCUGACGGUACUUGAGGAAUAAGCCACGGCUAAUUCCGUGCCAGCAGCCGCGGUAAUACGGGAGUGGCAAGCGUUAUCCGGAAUUAUUGGGCGUAAAGCGUCCGCAGGCGGCCUUGUAAGUCUGUCGUUAAAGCGUGGAGCUUAACUCCAUUUAAGCGAUGGAAACUACAAGGCUUGAGUGUGGUAGGGGCAGAGGGAAUUCCCGGUGUAGCGGUGAAAUGCGUAGAUAUCGGGAAGAACACCAGUGGCGAAGGCGCUCUGCUGGGCCAUAACUGACGCUCAUGGACGAAAGCCAGGGGAGCGAAAGGGAUUAGAUACCCCUGUAGUCCUGGCCGUAAACGAUGAACACUAGGUGUCGGGGGAAUCGACCCCCUCGGUGUCGUAGCCAACGCGUUAAGUGUUCCGCCUGGGGAGUACGCACGCAAGUGUGAAACUCAAAGGAAUUGACGGGGGCCCGCACAAGCGGUGGAGUAUGUGGUUUAAUUCGAUGCAACGCGAAGAACCUUACCAGGGUUUGACAUCCUGCGAACCCCUGAGAAAUCGGGGGGUGCCUUCGGGAACGCAGAGACAGGUGGUGCAUGGCUGUCGUCAGCUCGUGUCGUGAGAUGUUGGGUUAAGUCCCGCAACGAGCGCAACCCACGUCUUUAGUUGCCAGCAUUCAGUUGGGCACUCUAGAGAGACCGCCGGUGAUAAACCGGAGGAAGGUGUGGAUGACGUCAAGUCAUCAUGCCCCUUACAUCCUGGGCUACACACGUACUACAAUGCUACGGACAAAGGGCAGCAAGCUCGCGAGAGCAAGCAAAUCCCAUAAACCGUGGCUCAGUUCAGAUCGUAGGCUGCAACUCGCCUACGUGAAGGAGGAAUCGCUAGUAAUCGCAGGUCAGCAUACUGCGGUGAAUACGUUCCCGGGCCUUGUACACACCGCCCGUCGCACCAUGGAAGUUGGCCACGCCCGAAGUCGUUACUCCAACCCUUGUGGAGGAGGACGCCGAAGGUGGGGCUGAUGACUGGGGUGAAGUCGUAACAAGGUAACC